AACGAACGCUGGCGGCAUGCCUAACACAUGCAAGUCGAACGAGACCUUCGGGUCUAGUGGCGCACGGGUGCGUAACGCGUGGGAACCUGCCCUUAGGUUCGGAAUAACUCCCCGAAAGGGGUGCUAAUACCGGAUAAUGUCUUCGGACCAAAGAUUUAUCGCCAUUGGAUGGGCCCGCGUUGGAUUAGCUAGUUGGUAGGGCAAAAGCCUACCAAGGCGACGAUCCAUAGCUGGUCUGAGAGGAUGAUCAGCCACACUGGGACUGAGACACGGCCCAGACUCCUACGGGAGGCAGCAGUGGGGAAUAUUGGACAAUGGGCGAAAGCCUGAUCCAGCAAUGCCGCGUGAGUGAUGAAGGCCUUAGGGUUGUAAAGCUCUUUUACCCGGGAUGAUAAUGACAGUACCGGGAGAAUAAGCUCCGGCUAACUCCGUG
rnacentral:rRNA from 1 species